rnacentral:rRNA from 1 species
GACAUAGGUCGCAACCGUUAUCCGGAAUUAUUGGGCGUAAAGAGCUCGUAGGCGGUCUGUCGCGUCGGUCGUGAAAACUUGGGGCUUAACCCUGAGCUUGCGGUCGAUACGGGCAUGACUGGAGUUCGGUAGGGGAGACUGGAAUUCCUGGCGUAGCGGUGAAAUGCGCAGAUAUCAGGAGGAACACCGGUGGCGAAGGCGGGUCUCUGGGCCGAUACUGACGCUGAGGAGCGAAAGCGUGGGGAGCGAACAGG